rnacentral:rRNA from 1 species
UCUGGUUGAUCCUGCCAGUAGUCAUAUGCUCGUUUCAAAGAUUAAGCCAUGCAAGUGUAAGUAUGAAUCCUAGUGAUGAAACUGCGAAAAGCUUAUUAUAACAGUUAGAAUUUAUUCGAAAGAAAUCAAAAGGAUAAUAAUGGUAAUUCUGUUAAUAAUACAUGGUGUGUGAGUCAUUUUUUGAUGGGAACAGUUGACAAAUAUUGCUAUAUAUGAUGAAACGCAUGUUCGCUUGAAUUACAUAUUGUGAUUAUUCGAUCGGCUUUCUGACCUAUCAGCUUCCGUCGGUAAGGUCGUGACUUACUGAGGCGUUAACGGGUAACGGGGAAUUAGGGUUUGAUUCCGGAGAGGGAGCCUGAGAAAUGGCUACCACAUCUAAGGAUGGCAGCAGGCGCGCAAAUUACCCAAUCCCAACUCGGGGAGGUAGUGAAAAGAAAUAACAACUCAGGAUAAUAAUUCUGUGAUUGCAAUGAGCAUGAAUUAAAUUCAAGUGCGAGGAUCGAUUGGAGGGCAAGUCUGGUGCCAGCAGCCGCGGUAAUUCCAGCUCCAAUAGCGUAUAUUAAAGUUGUUGCAGUUAAAGCGUCCGUAGUUGAAGUUUGUUGAAAUGAAUCAUAAGAUGCGCAAUGCGUCGAAUGGUACAUGAACACGUCAGGAAUAAUAUCUUGAAAGUUACUGUGAAUAAAGGAGGGUGAUUUAAGCAGGCAGCAGUCAGAAUCUAAAAGUAUGGAAUAACGAAAAAGACACUAUUUCUUCAAGGUAGUAGGAGGAAUUGUUGUAAUGAUUAAAAAGGACAUUUGGGGGCAUUUGUAUUUAUUGGAGAGAGGUGAAAUUCUUAGACCCUAUAAAGACAAACUAGUGCGAAAGCAUUUGCCAAAUCUGUACUUGUUAAUCAAGGACGAAAGUUGGGGGAUCGAAGACGAUUAGAUACCGUCGUAGUCCCAACCGUAAACUAUGCCGACUGAAGAUUGGAUGAAUAAAGACUAAAAUUCUUUCAGCAUUCUAAGAGAAAUCUAAGUGUUUGGGCCCUGGGGGGAGUAUGGUCGCAAGUCUGAAACUUAAAGGAAUUGACGGAAGGGCACCACCAGGAGUGGAGCCUGCGGCUUAAUUUGACCCAACGCGGG